rnacentral:rRNA from 1 species
GCAUGGCUCAGAUUGAACGCUGGCGGCAGGCCUAACACAUGCAAGUCGAGCGGAUGAAGGGAGCUUGCUCCUGGAUUCAGCGGCGGACGGGUGAGUAAUGCCUAGGAAUCUGCCUGGUAAUGGGGGAUAACGUCCGGAAACGGGCGCUAAUACCGCAUACGUCCUGAGGGAGAAAGUGGGGGAUCUUCGGACCUCACGCUAUCAGAUGAGCCUAGGUCGGAUUAGCUAGUUGGUGGGGUAAAGGCCUACCAAGGCGACGAUCCGUAACUGGUCUGAGAGGAUGAUCAGUCACACUGGAACUGAGACACGGUCCAGACUCCUACGGGAGGCAGCAGUGGGGAAUAUUGGACAAUGGGCGAAAGCCUGAUCCAGCCAUGCCGCGUGUGUGAAGAAGGUCUUCGGAUUGUAAAGCACUUUAAGUUGGGAGGAAGGGCAGUAAGUUAAUACCUUGCUGUUUUGACGUUACCAACAGAAUAAGCACCGGCUAACUUCGUGCCAGCAGCCGCGGUAAUACGAAGGGUGCAAGCGUUAAUCGGAAUUACUGGGCGUAAAGCGCGCGUAGGUGGUUCAGCAAGUUGGAUGUGAAAUCCCCGGGCUCAACCUGGGAACUGCAUCCAAAACUACUGAGCUAGAGUACGGUAGAGGGUGGUGGAAUUUCCUGUGUAGCGGUGAAAUGCGUAGAUAUAGGAAGGAACACCAGUGGCGAAGGCGACCACCUGGACUGAUACUGACACUGAGGUGCGAAAGCGUGAGGAGCAAACAGGAUUAGAUACCCUGGUAGUCCACGCCGUAAACGAUGUCGACUAGCCGUUGGGAUCCUUGAGAUCUUAGUGGCGCAGCUAACGCGAUAAGUCGACCGCCUGGGGAGUACGGCCGCAAGGUUAAAACUCAAAUGAAUUGACGGGGGCCCGCACAAGCGGUGGAGCAUGUGGUUUAAUUCGAAGCAACGCGGAGAACCUUACCUGGCCUUGACAUGCUGAGAACUUUCCAGAGAUGGAUUGGUGCCUUCGGGAACUCAGACACAGGUGCUGCAUGGCUGUCGUCAGCUCGUGUCGUGAGAUGUUGGGUUAAGUCCCGUAACGAGCGCAACCCUUGUCCUUAGUUACCAGCACCUCGGGUGGGCACUCUAAGGAGACUGCCGGUGACAAACCGGAGGAAGGUGGGGAUGACGUCAAGUCAUCAUGGCCCUUACGGCCAGGGCUACACACGUGCUACAAUGGUCGGUACAAAGGGUUGCCAAGCCGCGAGGUGGAGCUAAUCCCAUAAAACCGAUCGUAGUCCGGAUCGCAGUCUGCAACUCGACUGCGUGAAGUCGGAAUCGCUAGUAAUCGUGAAUCAGAAUGUCACGGUGAAUACGUUCCCGGGCCUUGUACACACCGCCCGUCACACCAUGGGAGUGGGUUGCUCCAGAAGUAGCUAGUCUAACCGCAAGGGGGACGGUUACCACGGAGUGAUUCAUGACUGGGGUGAAGUCGUAACAAGGUAACCGU